AACGUGUUAGCUUAAUGGUUAGAGUAUUGUGCUACGGACACAACAAUGUAAGUUCAAGUCUUACACACGUUU
rnacentral:tRNA from 2 species